CCUACGGGAGGCAGCAGUGGGGAAUUUUGGACAAUGGGCGAAAGCCUGAUCCAGCCAUUCCGCGUGAGUGAAGAAGGCCUUCGGGUUGUAAAGCUCUUUCGCAAGGGAAGAAAACUUAGAUACUAAUAUUAUCUGAGGUUGACGGUACCUUGAUAAGAAGCACCGGCUAACUACGUGCCAGCAGCCGCGGUAAUACGUAGGGUGCGAGCGUUAAUCGGAAUUACUGGGCGUAAAGCGUGCGCAGGCGGUUUUGUAAGUCAGAUGUGAAAUCCCCGAGCUCAACUUGGGAACUGCGUUUGAAACUACAAGACUAGAAUAUGUCAGAGGGGGGUAGAAUUCCACGUGUAGCAGUGAAAUGCGUAGAGAUGUGGAGGAAUACCAAUGGCGAAGGCAGCCCCCUGGGAUAAUAUUGACGCUCAUGCACGAAAGCGUGGGGAGCAAACAGGAUUAGAUACCCUGGUAGUCCACGCCCUAAACGAUGUCUACUAGUUGUUGGUGGAGUAAAAUCCAUGAGUAACGCAGCUAACGCGUGAAGUAGACCGCCUGGGGAGUACGGUCGCAAGAUUAAAACGUCAAAGNGUAGUGA
rnacentral:rRNA from 1 species